rnacentral:rRNA from 1 species
UACCAGCACCCCGAGUGGUUGGUACGAUUAUUGGGCCUAAAGCAUCCGUAGCCGGUCCUACAAGUCUUCCGUUAAAUCCACCUGCUUAACAGAUGGGCUGCGGAAGAUACUAUAGGGCUAGGAGGCGGGAGAGGCAAGCGGUACUCAGUGGGUAGGGGUAAAAUCCUCUGAUCCAUUGAAGACCACCAGUGGCGAAGGCGGCUUGCCAGAACGCGCUCGACGGUGAGGGAUGAAAGCUGGGGGAGCAAACCGG